rnacentral:rRNA from 1 species
GCGUAUAUUAAAGUUGUUGCAGUUAAAAAGCUCGUAGUUGAAUUUCGGGGUCAGCAGGUUGGUCGUGCCACUGGUAUGUACUGGCUUCGCUGAUUCCUCCUUUCUGAAGAACUGUAAUGCCAUUAAUUUGGUGUUGCAGGGAAACAGGACUGUUACUUUGAAAAAAUUAGAGUGUUUAAAGCAGGCUAACGCUUGAAUACAUUAGCAUGGAAUAAUGAAAUAGGACGUUUGAUCCUAUUUUGUUGGUUUCUAGGAUUGACGUAAUGAUUAAUAGGGAUAGUUGGGGGCAUUAGUAUUCAAUUGUCAGAGGUGAAAUUCUUGGAUUUAUUGAAGACUAACUACUGCGAAAGCAUUUGCCAAGGAUGUUUUCAUUAAUCAAGAACGAAAGUUAGGGGAUCGAAGACGAUCAGAUACCGUCGUAGUCUUAACCAUAAA